rnacentral:rRNA from 1 species
UCUUACGGAAGGCAGCAGUGGGAAUAUUGGGCAAUGGGCGCAAGCUUGAUCCAGCCAUGCCGCGUGAGUGAUGAAGGCCCUAGGGUUGUAAAGCUCUUUCGCCAGGGACGAUAAUGGCGGUACCUGGAUAAGAAGCCCCGGCUAACUUCGGUGCCAGCAGCCGCGGUAAUACGAAGGGGGCUAGCGUUGUUCGGAAUCACUGGGCGUAAAGCGCACGUAGGCGGAUUGUUAAGUCAGGGGUGAAAUCCCGAGGCUCAACCUCGGAACUGCCUUUGAUACUGGCGAUCUAGAGUCCGGGAGAGGUGAGUGGAACUGCGAGUGUAGAGGUGAAAUUCGUAGAUAUUCGCAAGGACACCAGUGGCGAGGGCGGCUCACUGGCCCGGAACUGACGCUGAGGUGCG